rnacentral:rRNA from 1 species
GACGAACGCUGGCGGCGUGCUUAACACAUGCAAGUCGAACGGAAAGGCCCUGCUUUUGUGGGGUGCUCGAGUGGCGAACGGGUGAGUAACACGUGAGUAACCUGCCCUUGACUUUGGGAUAACUUCAGGAAACUGGGGCUAAUACCGGACAGGAGCUCCUGCUGCAUGGUGGGGGUUGGAAAGUUUCGGCGGUUGGGGAUGGACUCGCGGCUUAUCAGCUUGCUGGUGGGGUAGUGGAUUACCAAGGCUUUGACCGGUAGCCGGCCUGAGAGGGUGACCGGCCACAUUGGGACUGAGAUACGGCCCAGACUCCUACGGGAGGCAGCAGUGGGGAAUAUUGCACAAUGGGCGGAAGCCUGAUGCAGCAACGUCGCGUGCGGGAUGACGGCCUGCGGGUUGUAAACCGCUUUAGCCUGUGACGAAGCUUGAGUGACGGUAAUGGGUAAAGAAGCACCGGCUAACUACGUG